UGAGGAAUAUUGCGCAAUGGGGGCAACCCUGACGCAGCGACGCCGCGUGGGCGAGGAAGGCCUUCGGGUCGUAAAGCCCUGUCGGGAGGAAAGAAGUGUGCGGCGGUUAACAUCUGCCGCAUUUGACGGUACCUCCAAAGGAAGCACCGGCUAACUCUGUGCCAGCAGCCGCGGUAAUACAGAGGGUGCAAGCGUUGUUCGGAAUCACUGGGCGUAAAGGGCGCGUAGGCGGCCCUGCAAGUCAGAUGUGAAAGCCCUCGGCUUAACCGGGGAAGUGCAUUUGAAACUGCUGGGCUUGAGUGUCAGAGGGGAAGGCGGAAUUCCCGGUGUAGAGGUGAAAUUCGUAGAUAUCGGGAGGAAUACCGGUGGCGAAGGCGGCCUUCUGGCUGAACACUGACGCUGAGGCGCGAAAGCGCGGGGAGCAAACAGG
rnacentral:rRNA from 1 species